rnacentral:rRNA from 1 species
GGGGAAUUUUCCGCAAUGGGCGAAAGCCUGACGGAGCAACGCCGCGUGAGGGAUGAAGGCCUCUGGGCUGUAAACCUCUUUUCUCAAGGAAGAAGAUCUGACGGUACUUGAGGAAUAAGCCACGGCUAAUUCCGUGCCAGCAGCCGCGGUAAUACGGGAGUGGCAAGCGUUAUCCGGAAUUAUUGGGCGUAAAGCGUCCGCAGGCGGCCUUGAAAGUCUGUUGUUAAAGCGUGGAGCUUAACUCCAUUUCAGCAAUGGAAACUACAAGGCUAGAGUGUGGUAGGGGCAGAGGGAAUUCCCGGUGUAGCGGUGAAAUGCGUAGAUAUCGGGAAGAACACCAGUGGCGAAGGCGCUCUGCUGGGCCAUAACUGACGCUCAUGGACGAAAGCCAGGGGAGCGAAAGGGAUUAGAUACCCCUGUAGUC